rnacentral:rRNA from 1 species
CCUACGGGUGGCAGCAGUGGGGAAUAUUGGACAAUGGGCGCAAGCCUGAUCCAGCCAUGCCGCGUGAGUGAUGAAGGCCCUAGGGUUGUAAAGCUCUUUCACCGGAGAAGAUAAUGACGGUAUCCGGAGAAGAAGCCCCGGCUAACUUCGUGCCAGCAGCCGCGGUAAUACGAAGGGGGCUAGCGUUGUUCGGAAUUACUGGGCGUAAAGCGCACGUAGGCGGGUAUUUAAGUCAGGGGUGAAAUCCCAGAGCUCAACUCUGGAACUGCCUUUGAUACUGGGUACCUAGAGUAUGGAAGAGGUGAGUGGAAUUCCGAGUGUAGAGGUGAAAUUCGUAGAUAUUCGGAGGAACACCAGUGGCGAAGGCGGCUCACUGGUCCAUUACUGACGCUGAGGUGCGAAAGCGUGGGGAGCAAACAGGAUUAGAUACCCCAGUAGUC